GAUGGGAGCUAUUCUUGUCCUUGUUUUACAGUGGCAAAACCAGAGGAUUGAGACCACAGGAAAGUAUGGGGAGUGGAGGGAAUCAAUUUAGAGGAGAGAGUUUGAGCACCACCCAACCCCCAGGUCAUCAGGGAUUUAGUCUUGGAAGAGAAAGCAGGUGCAUGAAGACAGUCUGAGGAUAAAUAGGGAGGUGUGUGAAGAUCCAAAAAAAGAUGGGGUAAGGAUGGGAGGAGACUAGCAUACCCAAAGUCCACACAGGUUAGAGGAAAGCAGGUGUAUGGGUGGAAUGACAGGCUAGCUAAGAGAAUGCUGUUGGUGCAGGAGCAUGGAUCUAGUUCCCUUUGCUUGCUACUCACGGGCUCUCUUUGCUCAGUCCCCAUCCUCUUCUUCACAGGGUCUCCCUUCUCUCCACCGACCAGAGAUGGAGGCAAACCAGGCAGGCAGCGGUGCCGGGGGUGGCGGGAGCAGCGGCAUCGGGGGCGAGGACGGGGUCCACUUCCAGAGUUACCCAUUUGACUUCCUGGAAUUCCUCAACCACCAGCGCUUUGAGCCCAUGGAGCUAUACGGGGAACACGCCAAGGCAGUGGCAGCCCUGCCCUGUACCCCGGGGCCCCCGCCCCAGCCCCCACCCCAGCCUCCUCCGCCCCAAUAUGACUACCCGCCCCAGUCCAGUUUCAAACCUAAGGCGGAGGCUCCUUCCUCAUCCUCAUCAUCAUCUUCAUC
rnacentral:lncRNA from 1 species